CCCUUAGAUGUCCUGGGCCGCACGCGCGCUACACUGAUGCAUGCAACGAGUUUAUAACCUUGGCCUGAAAGGUCUGGGUAAUCUUUUGAACGUGUAUCGUGAUAGGGAUAGAUUAUUGCAAUUGUUAAUCUUGAACGAGGAAUUCCUAGUAAACGCGAGUCAUCAGCUCGCAUUGAUUACGUCCCUGCCCUUUGUACACACCGCCCGUCGCACCUACCGAUUGAAUGGUUCGGUGAAGAUCUCGGACUUCGAUAUUUAUUCUUUAUUGAGUUUAUAUUGUGGGAAGUUAUCUAAACCUCAUCAUUUAGAGGAAGGUGAAGUCGUAACA
rnacentral:rRNA from 1 species